UGGGGAAUAUUGCACAAUGGGCGCAAGCCUGAUGCAGCCAUGCCGCGUGUAUGAAGAAGGCCUUCGGGUUGUAAAGUACUUUAAGCGGGGAGGAAGGGAGUAAAGUUAAUACCUUUGCUCAUUGACGUUACCCGCAGAAGAAGCACCGGCUAACUCCGUGCCAGCAGCCGCGGUAAUACGGAGGGUGCAAGCGUCAAUCGGAAUUACUGGGCGUAAAGCGCACGCAGGCGGUUUGUUAAGUCAGAUGUGAAAUCCCCGGGCUCAACCUGGGAACUGCAUCUGAUACUGGCAAGCUUGAGUCUCGUAGAGGGGGGUAGAAUUCCAGGUGUAGCGGUGAAAUGCGUAGAGAUCUUGAGGAAUACCGGUGGCGAAGGCGGCCCCCUGGACGAAGACUGACGCUCAGGUGCGAAAGCGUGGGGAGCAAACAGG
rnacentral:rRNA from 1 species